rnacentral:rRNA from 1 species
AAAUUGAAGAGUUUGAUCAUGGCUCAGAUUGAACGCUGGCGGCAGGCCUAACACAUGCAAGUCGAACGGUAACAGGAAGCAGCUUGCUGCUUCGCUGACGAGUGGCGGACGGGUGAGUAAUGUCUGGGAAACUGCCUGAUGGAGGGGGAUAACUACUGGAAACGGUGGCUAAUACCGCAUAACGUCGCAAGACCAAAGAGGGGGACCUUCGGGCCUCUUGCCAUCAGAUGUGCCCAGAUGGGAUUAGCUUGUUGGUGAGGUAACGGCUCACCAAGGCGACGAUCCCUAGCUGGUCUGAGAGGAUGACCAGCCACACUGGAACUGAGACACGGUCCAGACUCCUACGGGAGGCAGCAGUGGGGAAUAUUGCACAAUGGGCGCAAGCCUGAUGCAGCCAUGCCGCGUGUAUGAAGAAGGCCUUAGGGUUGUAAAGUACUUUCAGCGGGGAGGAAGGUGUUGUGGUUAAUAACCGCAGCAAUUGACGUUACCC